rnacentral:rRNA from 1 species
AGUGAACGCUGGCGGCAUGCCUAACACAUGCAAGUCGAACGGCAGCACGGUAAGCGCUCUCUCUUACGGUUGGCGACGGGCGGGUGAGUCAGGAGUACAUCCCCAUCUGCUUUUUCUUGGGCGACUACGGAGGGACACAUACGCUAAAAGAGCAUACGAUGAACGGGUGGGAGCAAAAGAUCUUGGGCUCUUGCGCGGGUCGAUGAGCCGAUGUCGGGUUGGCUAGGUGGGGGGGUAAAGGCCCACCAAGGCGAAGAUCCGUAGCUGGUCCGAGAGGAUGACCAGCCACACUGGAACUGAGACACGGCCCAGACUCCUACGGGAGGCAGCAGUGGGGAAUUUUGGACAAUGGGGGCAAGCCUGAUCCAGCCAUGCCGCGUGAGGGAAGAAGGCCUUCGGGUUGUAAAACGCUUUUGUUAGGGAAGAAAAAAUGUGGGCUUAAACCCCCGGGGGUUGACGGUACCGGAAGAAAAAGCCACGGCUAACUACGUG